rnacentral:rRNA from 1 species
GACGAACGCUGGCGGCGUGCUUAACACAUGCAAGUCGAGCGAGAAACUUCGGUUUCUAGCGGCGGACGGGUGAGUAACACGUGGGCAACCUGCCUCACAAUGGGGGAUAGCCUUCCGAAAGGAAGAUUAAUACCGCAUAACACAAAGGAAACGCAUGUUUCUUUUGCCAAAGAAUUUCGUUGUGGGAUGGGCCCGCGGCGCAUUAGCUUGUUGGUGAGGUAACGGCUCACCAAGGCGACGAUGCGUAGCCGACCUGAGAGGGUGAUCGGCCACAUUGGAACUGAGACACGGUCCAGACUCCUACGGGAGGCAGCAGUGGGGAAUAUUGCACAAUGGAGGAAACUUUGAUGCAGCAACGCCGCGUGAGUGAUGAAGGUCUUCGGAUUGUAAAGCUCUGUCUUCUGGGACGAUAAUGACGGUACCAGAGGAGGAAGCCACGGCUAACUACGUGCCAGCAGCCGCAGUAA